GGAGCAGACAAAUAUUCUCGCUUUUCUUUACUGUUUUUUAAUGCUUUUUACAGUCCCUUAGCUCAGUUGGUUAGAGCGCUACACUGAUAAUGUAGAGGUCCGCAGUUCAAAUCUGCGAGGGACUACAAAUGGGGGAUUAGCUCAGUUGGCUAGAGCGCUUGCCUUGCACGCAAGAGGUCAUCGGUUCGACUCCGAUAUUCUCCACUAUAAAAAGUUCUUUGACAUGUUGUAAUAUCAGGAUCAAAUUUAAGAAGAAUGAAUAUAGUAAUAUAUUCGA
rnacentral:tRNA from 1 species